GUUUACAAAAUCUGGACCGUCAAAAAGUUUGAAACGGGUCAGCAAAAACCAAAGUCUACCUUUGGAGAAGAUUCAUCUAAUAUGGCCAAACUAUUCAUUUGAGGGCCCCGAAACAGGGCUUGUACCGAAGUCUCAGUUAUUUGGGUCUUGUUGUUUGCGUACGGUAGAUGGCUGUAUACCUUCGCCUCCCUAUUUCCAAAUCCGGGAAAUAUUGGGAGUUCUUCUUCUAUUCGAAGCUUCGUGGUGUACAUGUGAUACGCACCAUUCCAUGUCUUGGAUUGAAACUCCCGACUGUCUUUCAACGUUGUUGUAGCUCUGGAACUAAUUCCAGGAAGUAACAUCCUUUUCUCUGGAACCGAUGUAUGAAGUCUUGGAGCAGCUCCGUGUUCUCCUUAUUGGAUUUUGAAAAUUUAUUCCAUUUGCCUUUCCACCCUUUUGUGCUACGGAGUAUGUUAAGUAGAGAUUUUGAUCGCUUAUAAAACCUUUUUGCUCUAGUCUUAGUCC
rnacentral:lncRNA from 1 species